rnacentral:rRNA from 1 species
GACGAACGCUGGCGGCGUGCUUAACACAUGCAAGUCGAGCGGAAAGGCCCCUUCGGGGGUACUCGAGCGGCGAACGGGUGAGUAACACGUGGGCAACCUGCCCCGGUGACCGGGACAACAGUUCGAAAGGACUGCUAAUACCGGAUGAUGUGUGACCUGCCAAGUGGGUCACACCAAAUGGUAGCUUCGGCCUCCGCACCGGGAUGGGCCCGCGCCGGAUUAGCUAGUUGGUGGGGUAACGGCUCACCAAGGCGACGAUCCGUAGCUGGUCUGAGAGGACGAUCAGCCACACUGGGACUGAGACACGGCCCAGACUCCUACGGGAGGCAGCAGUGGGGAAUCUUGCGCAAUGGGCGGAAGCCUGACGCAGCAACGCCGCGUGAGCGAAGACGGCCUCGGUUGUAAGACUCUGUCAGGAGGGACGAAGCCACUCGGUCGAAGUAAGCCCGACGAGGGUGACGGUACCGUCCACGAGGAAGGACCCCGGCCGUAACUAACGUGCCAGCAGCCGCGGUAAACGUAACG